CAUCAGCUGUAUGUUGCCCUAGGCACAUUGCUAGCCUGUAGCUAGUUACUAAUUUGGGCAGCUUUGUUUGUUUGAGUCCUCUCAGUUUGUUUCUCUGCUUCACAUCACUUGUUUAUUUUGACUUUAAAAAUAUGAAAUGAGAAGGCAGCAGGUAUCUCCCAGCUGAUAAACUGCAGCUUCUGGUCUGGUACUUAUACAGCUUCCAUCUUCAUAAGCUACAAGUGCCUUGAAGUAUUUAUGGAUUUAUCUUCACAACAGCCUUGUGCAAUAGGGAAGGAUUAUCAUCUCCAUCUGACAGAUGGGGACCUGAAGCAGCGUGGUUCAGUGAGUUACCCAGGAACACCCAGCUAUCUGUGGCAGACCCAGGUGUUUAAACCUGGUUCACCUGAGUCCCACUGCCAUAACCCUCCUCCCUGGACGUCAGUAAGCUCCUAAUUUUCAUCUUCUCAAAGGCUAACAGAAAUGAGGUGGGGAGUAUAGUUGAGAUUCAGAGCUCAUAUGCACAUCAGUGCAUCCUGAUUGGCUGCAGUUGAGUUCAGUGAAAACUAUUCACCUCUCCAAAAUGGAGACCACUACACACUGAGUACCUGUGCAGAUGAAUACCAAGAUUUAUCAUUCCUUGGAGUAAACAUGGACAUUGCUGGUCUUGGAUCAAUGAAUCUGGAGUCACCUCAAGAGAACUUUAUAUCUGAUUAUUAUAUAGCUUGACUAUUAUUUAUAACAUAGUGUGGCAAAUCACAACAGCAGGUUCUUGUCUCCAGAGAGAAUGUCUCAUAUCACAAAGGAGGUAGGCAGAAGAUUCAGCUACCACCUUCUUGGAUGCUAUCAUUCAGUCUCAUAAAAGAUGCAGCCACAACUUCCAGGUUUCCUGCAUUGAUGUCCCAUGUUGCACUGCAGUAAUUAGGGAAGCAAACAAUUAUAUUUCUCCUUUGGCUAUCAUCUUCUUCCUUAGUCUCCAGGACAGAUUAUUGGUCUCCUGAUUUUCCUAGGCUUGUUAUGAGGAAUGGAUGCAUUUGCUACUAUGUGGAUUCAGCAGAUGGUUGUAUUCAAUGGUCCUAAUAUUUAGAUCACUGAAUCCAAAUAUUACCUAAUCCCAUUAACAACUAUUACACCUUCUCUCCAUCUCAAUACAACAUGUCAGGAGUCUUCUUUCCAGUGCCCUCUUUCCCCAUGGAGAUCUGCUUUUAACUUUUACUAGCUUUCUGGGUGAGAAGUGACAGCCUCAGGUUCUACAGCGGGAAAUUAAUUGGCUGGCCUCCUAUCUUCUGUCUUAGGUGUAUGGGUCCAAGAAGUAAAACCACUACAUCCCAGGCUCUGUGAAAGUAUUUACAGGGUAUAGGAUGUUUGUCUAACUCCAUCUUGCCAUCUGGCUGAGAAACACAGCUACCCUUUAGAGUAUGUCAAUAUCUCAACAAAUUUAUUAUGGGAGUCCUCCAUUCCUAGCGAUUAUGCAACAAAGACUGGAUGAAGAAAUAGGGCAUCAUGCUUGGUACUAUGGUUCGCUCUUGUGCAGCAUAGGGGCUUUGUCAUUUCUUCUGUAAUUUUUUUGUAUUAAUAAAUACUAUCUUCCUCUUUGCUAAUUCUUUUUCACUCCUGCUAUAGCAUAGCAGGACACUCUAAAAUCUCACUUCCACAUAAUCAACCCCCUUUUCCUCUACCCAAGUAAAUGCUUACAUUACCUAAAACAAUACUAGUUCAUGUGCUACAUGUUAAUUUCAUGCAUUUCAUUAAAUUUUGCAAAUUGGUACAGUUUACCAAAUUUUCCAUGUAGAUUGUAAUGCUACAUUUUCUCUUAAAAAGUAAAGAAAAUGGGUAAGGUUUUUUUUGUGUGUGUGUGGUUUGGUUGGUUUUUUUUGUUGUUUUUGGUGCAAAAAUUGCAAACAGGAAAGAGAUGUCUGGGCUUGCCUCUGAUCACCCUAUAACUACAAAAUGAAUUUGUUUUCUCCUCUUAUCUGUACUGACUUCUUAACCAAACAGACAGAGAAGUUGGGAAAAACAGUAACCACAAUACUCAAUUCCCACAAAUGUGUACAGGCUUGAUUCUACAAGGUGUUCAGGCCCCAAUCCAGCAAAGCACAUAAGCACAAGCUAGUUUAAGUGCACAAGUAAUCUAAUUAAAGUCAAUGGAACUACUCUGGUGCCUAAGGUUAAAGACAUAUUUAUGUUCUUUGUUGAUGGGGGUUAGCCUACGCUGCACCUUGCGGGAUCAAAUCAUAACUAAGCAUCAUUUUUAUGGCAUGUGCAAUGAGGGUCUCAGCAUUAUUUCCAGUGUGAAUGCUUUUGGUUUCCACUCUAUCAAUACUUUUUCUUAACCACAUGUACAAUUAUUCAGUCACCUUUCAUUUCCUCACAUCAGGUCUGUAUCCUGUACAGUUUCAAAAGAGGAUAGAGAGUGCUGAAAAAUGAGGCAAAAUGAUAUAUUAGAUACAUAUGCACAUCAAAAAUACACAGGGAAGACAGGGACAGGGGACAGGGAAGAAAGAAAAUAAAGAAAGCAUGUUCUUACAAUCCCAAGACAAGAGUUGCUCUCUCCCAAAGACAAUGUACCAUACAUGUGUUAUUUAUAUGCCACCAUUUUAACAAGUCAUCAGUGAAAAACAUCUUGUUACCAUAGUAACUGGCACAUUGCAUGCUAUCUCUGAGACU